rnacentral:lncRNA from 10 species
AUUUCAUGUGUCUCUUCUUAGUGCUGAGGUGUAUGUGAUGGCAGAGACUGAGUCUUCCCUCAGUGCUGGAUAUACAGCUGACAGAUACUCACUAAAUACCUUUGAAUAAAUGUUUGAGAGUCACCAAAAGCAUUUCUAUCUGCACAGUGGGCUUUUAUUUGGCACUGGAGCAUUUCAGGACUUAACUGAUAUGCAGGUUCUUGGAGAAUUUAGUAGAAGCUUACAAAUGUGGAGAUAUAUUAAUAAGAUUUGUUGGCAUUCCAGAUUGGCAGUGGACCCUUUUUAGAAGAUUCCAGGCUUGGAGCUCAGUCUGUCAAGUAUAAGAAACAGAGUAAAGCUGGAGAAUACUGGUAGAAAUCAUCGUCUGGACUUGUGGGGAGUCGUCUCUCAAGAGGACUUGAUCUCUGGCCUGUGAACUGCCCCACAUGUUUCUUCUGCACAUCCUGACUCCCAGGCCUGCACAGGGGACUUCUGCACAGGCCUGACUCCCAGGCCUGACAUUUUCUGGUCUGUCUUCGCCAUGGUCUGCUAUCAACUGCAGUUUUGAAUUCUGGUUUCUCUUAUUCUUUGUCUCUAGGCAAGUCAACAGGUUCAGCAGCCAGAGUCCUAUCCUGUACUUCUCUUCACGUUGCAGACAUCCACGAAAGAGUGAGACUGUUUUCGGUUGGAUUGAAGAGCAAAUGUGUGGAAGGCACCAAGGUUUGUGUGUAAAUGUGGUGAGUGGGGCCAAGGAGAACUUCUGCACUUCUGCCAGGAGGAAUUAGGAGGCUGAGCAAGACAGACCGCCUGGUCAGUGUGGAGGCGUUGAACUGUGCUAUGUGAGACUGAUAACAUUUGGCUCUUGUCUAAUGAGCCCACCUGGCCACACUGGGGAAUUGAAGAAUCUAGUGACUAGAGGGUACCCACGUAUAGGUUAUCCAUAAGAAUUCCCAAAUAUUGAAGAAGCUUAAAAAGUGUGUUAAACAGUCCUUUCUGCCCAGAGAUCAAAGGCAGCUGAAAGAUCUAUAUUGGAUAUCCUGAUCUAUUCUUCAGUCUCAAUGGAUUCAGCUCCCUUGGAAAUGCUUUUUUGUGCAUGAGCAAUCACUUGUAUCUGAGACUUUCUGAGUCAUUGAUUAGUGCGGGUUUGCAUCAUCAGAUACAGCUUGAAACCAAUCUUUAGAAUGUUUCCCAGUCAUCUUUUUGUGAUUUUAUGAUGGCAAGAAUUUACAUUCCUUCCCCGUCCCAUGACUGGUAUGUGUGUUCUAGGAAAAGUUGGCAUUGGUUCUAUCUGGAUGUAUUGAUGCUGCUGUUUUGGGGGAAUAUCCAGUGCCAGAAAAUGCCUGGAACACCCUGAUCCAGUGGGAGGGUGUUAAACCCUAAUGGGUCUAUGCCAUUGUCAAUGUUCAGCAGGCCAGAUGCCUUUGGAGGGAGAAGGUCAGGGGUUUGGACCUUUGGGGUUAACCACCACUCAAUAAUUUCCUACAGUCAAAGACUCACUUCUCUCUACUGAUUACACUCCCACUACCAUUUUGCACUAAAGUACAAGUGCAGAUUAAGUGAGUUAUUCAGUUGGUUGCAACAGCAUACCACUACAGGGGUAGCUGGUCUUCUAAACAGAGCUUGGGAUAUUACUUUACUUACAUUUUUUUUUUUUUUUGAAACAGGGUCUCACUCUGUCACCUAGGCUGCAGUGCAGUGGUACAAUCACAGUUCACUGCAGCCUUGACCUCUUGGGCUCAAGCAAUCUUCCUGCCUUAGCCUCCUGAGUAGCUGGGACUACAGGUGAGCCACCAGCCUGGCUAAUUUUUAAUUUUUUUUUUUUUUGUAGAGACAGGAUCUCACUAUGUUUCCCAAGUUGGUCUUGAACUUCUGGCCUCAAGCAAUUCUCUUGCCUUGGCCUCCCAAAAUUCUGGAAUUAUAGGCAUGAGUCACCAGAAACGGCCCACUUUAUUUACUUCUGUGAUGCCUAUACAUUGUGUUAUCAAUAAAACUUGAGAUUCUGUAACUGAGACUGGUCUCUGUUUUUAAUUAAUUUCUUUUUUUUGUAAUUCCAAGGCUACCACUGAGGUUCAGAUUCUGCAUUUUGGGGCAUCAGAACUAGUUUUUUUUUUUUUAAUUUGAGGAAAUAUGCUAUAUGCUAGCAUAGGGAUGGCAAUGCAGCCUAUGCAUAUGUGUUCAUUGGAGUGUGCACACUUGUGUA